UAGGGAAUCUUCGGCAAUGGACGAAAGUCUGACCGAGCAACGCCGCGUGAGUGAAGAAGGUUUUCGGAUCGUAAAACUCUGUUGUUAGAGAAGAACAAGGACGUUAGUAACUGAACGUCCCCUGACGGUAUCUAACCAGAAAGCCACGGCUAACUACGUGCCAGCAGCCGCGGUAAUACGUAGGUGGCAAGCGUUGUCCGGAUUUAUUGGGCGUAAAGCGAGCGCAGGCGGUUUCUUAAGGCUGAUGUGAAAGCCCCCGGCUCAACCGGGGAGGGUCAUUGGAAACUGGGAGACUUUAGUGCAGAAGAGGAGAGUGGAAUUCCAUGUGUAGCGGUGAAAUGCGUAGAUAUAUGGAGGAACACCAGUGGCGAAGGCGGCUCUCUGGUCUGUAACUGACGCUGAGGCUCGAAAGCGUGGGGAGCAAACAGG
rnacentral:rRNA from 1 species